GAUGAACGCUAGCUACAGGCUUAACACAUGCAAGUCGAGGGGCAGCAUGAAUUUACUUCGGUAGAUUUGAUGGCGACCGGCGCACGGGUGCGUAACGCGUAUCCAACCUUCCCGUUACUCCGGGAUAGCCUUCCGAAAGGGAGAUUAAUACCGGAUGGUGUUUGAAGUCCGCAUGAAAUUCAAACUAAAGAUUUAUCGGUAACGGAUGGGGAUGCGUACCAUUAGAUAGUAGGCGGGGUAACGGCCCACCUAGUCUACGAUGGUUAGGGGUUCUGAGAGGAAGGUCCCCCACACUGGAACUGAGACACGGUCCAGACUCCUACGGGAGGCAGCAGUGAGGAAUAUUGGUCAAUGGCCGUAAGGCUGAACCAGCCAAGUAGCGUGAAGGAUGAAGGUUCUAUGGAUUGUAAACUUCUUUUAUACGGGAAUAACACCAUCUACGUGUAGAUGUCUGCAUGUACCGUAUGAAUAAGCAUCGGCUAACUCCGUG
rnacentral:rRNA from 1 species